rnacentral:rRNA from 1 species
AUUGAACGCUGGCGGCAUGCCUUACACAUGCAAGUCGAACGGCAGCACGGGAGCUUGCUCCUGGUGGCGAGUGGCGAACGGGUGAGUAAUACAUCGGAACGUACCCGGAAGUGGGGGAUAACGUAGCGAAAGUUACGCUAAUACCGCAUAUUCUGUGAGCAGGAAAGCAGGGGAUCGCAAGACCUUGUGCUUUCGGAGCGGCCGAUGUCGGAUUAGCUAGUUGGCGGGGUAAAGGCCCACCAAGGCAACGAUCCGUAGCGGGUCUGAGAGGAUGAUCCGCCACACUGGGACUGAGACACGGCCCAGACUCCUACGGGUGGCAG